GACGAACGCUGGCGGCGUGCUUAACACAUGCAAGUCGAACGGAGUGGCGAACGGGUGAGUAACACGUGGGUGACCUGCCCUGCACUUCGGGAUAAGCCUGGGAAACUGGGUCUAAUACCGGAUAGUGUGGGAUGGGCCCGCGGCCUAUCAGCGUGUUGGUGGGGUAAUGUCCUACCAAGGCGGCGGCGGGUAGCCGGCCUGAGAGGGUGGACGGCGAAAUUGGGACUGGGACACGGCCCAGACGCCUACGGGAGGCAGCAGUGGGGAAUUUUGCACAAUGGGCGCAAGCCUGAUGCAGCGACGCCGCGUGAGGGAUGAAGGCCUUCGGGUUGUAAACCUUUUUCGCCAUGGUACGGGUAUUGGGUAAAGAAGCGCCGGCUAACUACGUGCCAGCAGCCGCGGUAAUUC
rnacentral:rRNA from 1 species